rnacentral:rRNA from 1 species
UACGGGGGGGGCAAGCGUUGUUCGGAAUUACUGGGCGUAAAGGGCUCGUAGGCGGCCAACUAAGUCAGACGUGAAAUCCCUCGGCUUAACCGGGGAACUGCAUCUGAUACUGGAUGGCUUGAGUUCGGGAGAGGGAUGCGGAAUUCCAGGUGUAGCGGUGAAAUGCGUAGAGAUCUGGAGGAACACCCGUGGCGAAGGCGGCUCCCUGGUCCGGUUCUGACGCUGAGACGCGAAAGCGCGGGGAGCGAACGGG